rnacentral:rRNA from 1 species
GACGAACGCUGGCGGCGUGCCUAAUACAUGCAAGUCGAACGCAUUUUCUUUCACCGUAGCUUGCUACACCGACAGAAAAUGAGUGGCGAACGGGUGAGUAACACGUGGGUAACCUGCCCAUCAGCGGGGGAUAACACUUGGAAACAGGUGCUAAUACCGCAUAAUUCCAUUUACUGCAUGGUAGAUGGAUGAAAGGCGCUUUUGCGUCACUGAUGGAUGGACCCGCGGUGCAUUAGCUAGUUGGUGGGGUAACGGCCUACCAAGGCUGCGAUGCAUAGCCGACCUGAGAGGGUGAGCGGCCACACUGGGACUGAGACACGGCCCAGACUCCUACGGGAGGCAGCAGUAGGGAAUCUUCGGCAAUGGACGCAAGUCUGACCGAGCAACGCCGCGUGAGUGAAGAAGGGUGUCGGAUCGUAAAACUCUGUUGUUAGAAAAGAACAAGGAUGAGAGUGGAAAGUUCAUCCCUUGACGGUAUCUAACCAGAAAGCCACGGCUAACUACGUG